UGAGUUUCAGGUGUGCAACAUAGUGAUUUGACACAUAAUUGUCCUUUUUAGUAUCUAAGAACAGCAACUUUUCUAAAUCGUUAUUUUGUGGACUGCUAACCUGUCAAGUCUCCGUUUAUAUUACUGUUACUGAUUUUUCAGUUUUUUUGUUUAACUAUUCUUUUCAGGUGCUCUGUCUUUAAUUUUUUUAUCAUUUUGGAAUUUACUUUCAUACAGAUGGUUUUCCUCCAAUGUGGAUGACUCAGGUGCAUGGCCCUAUUUCUCUUUGAGGAUCCCUGUUCACUUCCAGGUGGUGUAUCCUCUAGGCACUGGGGAGGGGGGGAGCAGGACACCUCCUGGGUAUAAUGAUGUCUGCUUCCCACCCUCCAGGUAGCAGUGAGUCACCUGGGCCACUAACUUGAUUUUCUGAAUGUAGAGCUCUUUCUGUAAAAUGUCUGUGUUAAAACUUCUGAGUUUUAAUUUUGCUGCAGGUUUUCCUUUGCACAUGUUUUAAACUUCCUUAUGUUUCUCCAUCUGUCUGAUCUCAACUGACUUGCAUUUUCUAGAAAUUCUCACAAAAUUCUGAUCCACUAAUGACAUAUUUUGUUGUUUUCCAGUACAGUUGUAAAUUUAUUCUUCAAAAGUAUUUUUUAAAAUUACUUUAAGGUGCCUUGAGAGGCAGAGGAGGUGAACACUGUAUUUAAUCUGCAGCCUUGGGCCAAAUAUAAAACAAGCUUAUUUAUAACAAGGAUACAAACAGUCUUAUUGUGCAGAAGACUGUACUAGUCUCAAUUUGUCAUCUUCAGUGUCACUCCAUUUUCAAGUGAGGUCUCCCUCUUGCCUACCACAACUCCUUCCUCAUUGUUUGUUUGUAUUUUACUUGGAAACAGGAAGGAGAAUUAUUUAUCGAACAUUCUUUUACCUGUGUGGAUCCAUCCAACAUGUACUUGACAACUGUGCCUUGCCUGGUGAUGACUCUCGACAUCUCCUGCUCCCCAGGUGGGAUGACCGUCUUAUAGAACUCAUAGUGCUUCACCUUCUGGGGGUAGCUCUGCCGGACCAUGAUGUCCCAAAUGGGCUCCUCAUCCACAGCACUCUGAUCUGAAAAAAAAAAAAAAGCAAGCCUUAAUGAGAACUGGGCAACACCAUGUGGCUGGUGUUUUAUCUUGUUGCUUAAUUGUUCUCAUUCUUCUGUCCACAGUUGACUGAUAGGGCAGUUUCCAUGUCAUGACAGGUAAUGCAGAGAACUGGUUCUUGUCUACCUUUGCUAUAGUCAGUGUAAUAAAUAAGGUCACGUAUAGGUACUUAGUAGGUCCCUUCCCUAUGUACAACCCAUUCUUUCUCAUGAAUUCUAGGACACCUCUGGCAAAAUUAGGAAGGAGGCAGAGCUUUGCUGUCUCAGUGGUUCCCUUUUCUCCCUGUUGGUACUUUCCUCUUGCUCUUGACUAAGCUCUUGUCCCCGGAUGUACAACGCCCUCCUGGUGUCCCCUGGUGGCCUAGAGCAUCAGGAGAAGUCACUCACUUCGGGCUUACCCUUUCUAAAUUAUUCAUCAUCUUUCAGAGCUAACAUAAUCCCCUCAUAUCAACCAAGUCCAGAUUUUUCUCAGCAUUCUACUCAGCUGGCCAUCAAGGAGAGAAGCACCUGCUCACUUCAACAAACUUUUAAGGAAGACACUCACUCUCCAGGGCUUUCAGAUGAAGGCAUGGAGGCUUGGAAGGCUCUUAGCUUCUCCAAGGUCACACAGAUACACUUUUCCAAUAUGGUAUACAUAAGGAGGUUGUGAUAAAGAGGAUAUUUGGCUGUGAAAAAAUAUCAAGAUCCACUGAUACAAUACAAUUUUUAUAGAUGAGGACAUAUGAUCCAGCAAUACCCUUUGUAGAGGCAGGAAGAUGGCCCCACAAUAGUUGUCAAGAGCACUGGCUUUGCCAUCACUGGACCAAGAAUGGACUUUUAGCUCUGCCACUUCGGAGGCAAUUCCUCCUCACUUCCAAAGACCCAGUUCAUAUGCUACUGCCACUGGGUCUGUGAAGGCUUUCUCAGAGCAAGAAAUCUGUAAGCUGAGACCUCAAGGAUGAGAGGAAGUUUAAUUGCUGCACAGAAUGACUUCAAGUGCUGGCUCAGAAACAAACCAAAUACAAGAUGAAAAGACAAAACCUCAGAGAAAGCAAAAAUACUAACAAAUUUAAUGGGCCCUCUAACUCACUAGAGUACUGCAACAUUUUGUACAAGGUAUAAUCCAUCACAUUGGGCAGGAAGCAUGUGGUUUUCCCAGGUAAUGCUGGAGAUAUUAAAUAGUGUUAUCAGGAAGUUUCAUGGUGUGUAAUCAAAGGAUAUCCACUUGGAGCUCCAACUACCAGAGAGUGUCCCAGCUAACCUCUCACCCGGCCCAUGCCCUGCAGGAGGUUAUAACAGAAGAAGGUGAAGUCUGAGAAUGCAGUGGGCCCAUCACCACCCCACCUAUCGUGAUCACUCAUGGUUCGAGGCCAUGAGACCCCUCGAUGGGGUUACUAUCUUGUUUUCCUCAUAAGACUCUUGAGGGAGAGACUGGUCAAGAGAAGGUUUUGUAAGAGUUGCAAUGGGAGGGAGACUGAGCGGCCACUUGGCUGUGGAGAGCUGCGUGCACUGACGACCCCCACCUGCCAACCUGGAAUGACCCGCGCUGUUUGAAAAGCACCAGCGGCCAUUUUAUUUCAGGUCAGAUAAUAGUUCCAGGCACCGCCAGGGACCUAUGACCCCGAC